UGUCUUAUUGAUUUUAAUUUUAAGUCUGAUCUGCUCCAUGAUUUAUUAUAAAUUAAAUAGCUGCAGUAAUUUGACUGUACUAAGGUAGCAUAAUCAAUAGUUUUUUAAUUAAAAGCUAGAAUGAAGGAUUUGAUAAGGUAAAUAUUGUCUCAAUUUUAAUAAUAUUAAAAAUUUUUUUUUAGUAAAAAUACUAAAAUUAAUUUAAAAGACGAGAAGACCCUAUAGAUUUUUAUAUUUUAAAUUUAAUAGAUUAAAAUAUAAUUAGUUAUUAAAUUGAAUAAUAUUUGAUUGGGGAAAUUAUUAAAUUUAUAAAAUUUUAAUUUAUAAAAAACAAUAAUUAUUGAUUAUAAGAUCCUUUAUUUAAGAUAAAAGAUUAAAUUACCUUAGGGAUAACAGCGUAAUUUUUUUUGAGAGAUCUUAUUGAUAAAAAAGUUUGCGACCUCGAUGUUGAAUUAAGAUAAAAUUUUAAUGUAGAAGUUAAAAAUUUUUGGUCUGUUCGACCAUUAAAAUCUUACGUG
rnacentral:rRNA from 1 species